GGCGGCAUGCCUUACACAUGCAAGUCGAACGGCAGCACGGAGCUUGCUCUGGUGGCGAGUGGCGAACGGGUGAGUAAUAUAUCGGAACGUACCCUGGAGUGGGGGAUAACGUAGCGAAAGUUACGCUAAUACCGCAUACGAUCUAAGGAUGAAAGUGGGGGAUCGCAAGACCUCAUGCUCCUGGAGCGGCCGAUAUCUGAUUAGCUAGUUGGUGGGGUAAAGGCCUACCAAGGCAUCGAUCAGUAGCUGGUCUGAGAGGACGACCAGCCACACUGGAACUGAGACACGGUCCAGACUCCUACGGGAGGCAGCAGUGGGGAAUUUUGGACAAUGGGGGCAACCCUGAUCCAGCAAUGCCGCGUGAGUGAAGAAGGCCUUCGGGUUGUAAAGCUCUUUUGUCAGGGAAGAAAAGGGAUCGGAUAAUACCUGGUCCUCAUGACGGUACCUGAAGAAUAAGCACCGGCUAACUACGUGCCAGCAGCCGCGGUAAUACGUAGGGUGCAAGCGUUAAUCGGAAUUACUGGGCGUAAAGUGUGCGCAGGCGGUUUUGUAAGACUGUCGUGAAAUCCCCGGGCUCAACCUGGAAUGGCGAUGGUGACUGCAAGGCUAGAGUUUGGCAGAGGGGGGUAGAAUUCCACGUGUAGCAGUGAAAUGCGUAGAUAUGUGGAGGAACACCGAUGGCGAAGGCAGCCCCCUGGGUCAAAACUGACGCUCAUGCACGAAAGCGUGGGGAGCAAACAGGAUUAGAUACCCUGGUAGUCCACGCCCUAAACGAUGUCUACUAGUUGUCGGGUCUUAAUUGACUUGGUAACGCAGCUAACG
rnacentral:rRNA from 1 species